CCGAGUUUACAACUCCCAAACCCCUGUGAACAUACCUAUACGUUGCCUCGGCGGAUCAGCCCGCGCCCCGUAAAAAGGGACGGCCCGCCGAGGACCCCUAAACUCUGUUUUUAGUGGAACUUCUGAGUAAAACAACAAAUAAAUCA
rnacentral:misc_RNA from 1 species